UACGAAGGGGGCUAGCGUUGCUCGGAAUCACUGGGCGUAAAGCGCACGUAGGCGGCUUUUUAAGUCAGGGGUGAAAUCCUGGAGCUCAACUCCAGAACUGCCUUUGAUACUGAGAAGCUUGAGUCCGGGAGAGGUGAGUGGAACUGCGAGUGUAGAGGUGAAAUUCGUAGAUAUUGGGAAGAACACCGGUGGCGAAGGCGGCUCACUGGCCCGAUACUGACGCUGAGGUGCGAAAGCGUGGGGAGCAAACAGG
rnacentral:rRNA from 1 species